UGUCCUAUGGUGUAAUUGGCAACACGUCUGACUCUGGAUCAGAAGACUUCAAGUUCGACCCUUGAUAGGACAACCA
rnacentral:tRNA from 1 species